GACGAACGCUGGCGGCGUGCCUAAUACAUGCAAGUCGAACGCUUUUUCUUUCACCGGAGCUUGCUCCACCGAAAGAAAAAGAGUGGCGAACGGGUGAGUAACACGUGGGUAACCUGCCCAUCAGAAGGGGAUAACACUUGGAAACAGGUGCUAAUACCGUAUAACACUAUUUUCCGCAUGGAAGAAAGUUGAAAGGCGCUUUUGCGUCACCGAUGGAUGGACCCGCGGUGCAUUAGCUAGUUGGUGAGGUAACGGCUCACCAAGGCAACGAUGCAUGGCCGACCUGGGAGGGUGAUCGGCCAGACUGGGACUGGGACACGGCCCAGACUCCUACGGGAGGUAGCAGUAGGGAAUCUUCGGCAAUGGGCGAAAGUCUGACCGAGCAACGCCGCGUGAGUGAAGAAGGUUUUCGGAUCGUAAAACUCUGUUGUUAGAGAAGAACAAGGAUGAGAGUAAAACGUUCAUCCCUUGACGGUAUCUAACCAGAAAGCCACGGCUAACUACGUGCCAGCCGCCGCGGUAA
rnacentral:rRNA from 1 species